GGCUAUGAAUGAGAGAGAUUUAUCAUUGUGCACAGGAAGAUACGAUAUAUGAUGUUAUACAAGUGAAGGAAAGUUUAAUUUUUUAAGUACCCCUCUACUUGGAUAACGAUAUAUGGGUACGUGAUGGUGUCUUAGAAAGAGUGAAAAAUCUCUUCAUGAAUGGCAAUUACCUAGCAACUCUGCUCUUAUAGGAUUUUAUAACUAAACAAUAAAAAAAAAAAAA
rnacentral:lncRNA from 1 species